AUGUUCUUACUCCGUGAUAGAGGUUGCAACUUGCAACCCCAUCAACAGCUCCAGAAACACAGCACCUGGUGUAAAGAUUUUUGGGUUAGUGCAUCCCAUACGCGUUUAAAACCUUCCCAUUAUCUCCCUGGACAGAUUCCAGUACUUAGUAUCAACUGCCAGUUCGUUGAAAGUGAAGGCUUUCAUUCCAUCUAUUUCAAUGCAAAAAGCAUAAGCAUUAGAACUGUUCUUUGGAAGACAAUCGCAAAUUAUGCUGAGAGUGUCAAGAUGAUGUUCAAAAAAGUGGUACAACAGUACUUGCUAUUGUAA